CCUACGGGUGGCAGCAGUGAGGAAUAUUGGUCAAUGGGCUUACGCCUGACCCAGCCAAGUCGCGUGAGGGAAGACUGCCCUAUGGGUUGUAAACCUCUUUUGUCAGGGAGCAACGCCGGCUACGUGUAGACGGACUGAGAGUACCUGAAGAAAAAGCAUCGGCUAACUCCGUGCCAGCAGCCGCGGUAAUACGGAGGAUGCGAGCGUUAUCCGGAUUUAUUGGGUUGAAAGGGUGCGUAGGCGGAAUGCCAAGUCAGCGGUAAAAUCGCGGGGCUCAACCUCGCUCCGCCGUUGAAACUGGCGUUCUUGAGUGGGCGAGAAGUAUGCGGAAUGCGUGGUGUAGCGGUGAAAUGCAGAGAUAUCACGCAGAACUCCGAUUGCGAAGGCAGCAUACCGGCGCCCAACUGACGCUGAAGCACGAAAGCGUGGGUAUCGAACAGGAUUAGAUACCCGAGUAGUC
rnacentral:rRNA from 1 species